GCGGAUGGCUGGGCGGUCGCGGGGGCAACCUCGAGGAAAGUCCGGACUCCACAAGGCAACGGUGCCAGGUAACGCCUGGGCGGGGCAACCCGACGGACAGCGCCACAGAGAACAGACCGCCCCGGGCGCGCUCGGGGUCAGGGUGAAACGGUGGGGUAAGAGCCCACCGCGGCGGCGGCAACGUCGCUGGCAUGGCAAGCCCCACCGGGAGCAAUGCCGAAUAGGGACCCCGCAUGGGCGGCUUUGGCCUGGGGUCCGGGUAGGCAGCUAGAGGGCGCCGGGCGACCGGCGCUUUAGAUGAAUGGCCGUCGGCAAGUGGCGACACUUGCGGGACAGAAUCCGGCUUAUAGGCUGUCCGCGCUU
rnacentral:RNase_P_RNA from 2 species